GACGAACGCUGGCGGCGUGCCUAAUACAUGCAAGUCGAACAGUUGCGAACGGGUGAGUAACGCGUAGGUAACUGCCUCAUAGCGGGGGAUAACUAUUGGAAACGCGAGCUAAUACCGCAUACUUUAAUGUUGACCUUCGUUGUAUUAGGUAGUUGGUGAGGUAAAGGCGCACCAAAGCGACGGAGCAUAUCCGAACUGAGAGGGGGGUACGCCAAACUGGGACUGAGACACGGGCCAGACUCCUACGGGAGGCAGCAGUAGGGAAUCUUCGGCAAUGGACGGAAGUCUGACCAGGCAAAGCCGCGGGAGGGAAGAAGGUUUUCGGGUCGUAAAGAUCUGGUGUUAGAGAAGCGGUACCUAACCAGAAAGGGACGGCUAACUACGUGCCAGCAGCCGCGGUAAUUC
rnacentral:rRNA from 1 species